ensembl:lncRNA
GGGGCCAAAAUGAGGUCUUCCAGCUCACGACCUCUGGGCGCGCACGGGUCCCAGUGGUCACACGUGUCCUGCGCACUGCAGCCUGAACCAGGGGCCCCGGGAUGCGGUCCACGGCCCCAACUUUAGGGCACGGGGGGGGGGGGCACGCCUCCCCCUCACUACCCCGGCUCUGAUCUUCAGAAUUGGGGACCUGCAAACGGCGCCCAGGCCCGGUGGCUGCGCCGAGUUCCCUGUCCUGUCUGUUCCCGCGCCACGUCGUGGUGGUCGGUGCACGUUCCCUGGGGCCUCCCGAGGGCCUGCUUGGGUGGAUUCGAGCAGAGGGAUUACCUGAGACUCCCGAGCUGGAGGCUGAGUCACGCUGCUCUCAGGAGACAAAGGCAGCCUCGGGCCCUCCUUCCAGACCCCCUCCUGCUGUGGCGUUUGCACUAGCUGAAAGUCCUUCCUUCGUCCCCUCCCCAGAAUCUCCGCUCGAGGCUAAGCCUCCAUCGUGGAAGAAUGGAAGUGGGUUUAGGGACGAGGUCCUUCUAGCUUGGGAGUGGCAUCUCUGUCACAAUCAUCAUGCUCUGCCGUGGGGGUCUCAGGAGGUUGCAUGUUCCCCAGGAUGGGGAUGGGCUUGGGCCCCACUGUCCUCUCCCUGCAGCCCUGCCAACGAGGUGUAGAUGAGACAAUGGAGGCCUGGAAAGGUAGACUGGUCCCAAGACCUCAGGAAUUCUGUCCAGCCUGGGACUGGGGACACUGCGGGCAUGUUGGGGACAGCUGUAGGGAGCAGGGAGCGACUCCCCGGUCCCAUUGGGCCUCCAGCUACUCUGUCUGCACCCAGCCAUCAGAAAGCAGGUUUGGGGCUCUAGGCACAAACUCCAGGCCAGACCCUGACUCUCCUAGCUGUGUCCCAGCGAGUCACUACCCUUCUUGGGGUCUUUGAUUUCUCUCUAGGAAAUUGCAAACCUUCUCCCCCAGGGUGAGCAGAGCUGCCAGGUGGGCACUCUCCAUCUAAAAUGGGGACCCUAACACCCAGGGCCUCUCAGGACCCCAGGCUUUCAUUGUGAUAGCUGGGCAGUGAAGGAAGGCCACGCGUGCCUGGGCACAUACACAUGGGCACAUGCAUGACCAUGCUGGCUCCCCACCUGCCCUCUCACAUCCACAGGCAUGCCCAGGCACCUCACACCCGAGCUGCCAGAGCUGAGAGCUGGGGGCGGGGUGGGUGCCCUUCAGGCGCAGAGACUCAGCUCCUCUGCCCGCCCCACGGGGCUCACUGCAGAUGCCAGGGGUUAUUUUAAGCCUGGAUCAAUGGAUGAUUUUUGGUGACACAGGCUUAGGGGGCUGGCAGAAGAGACAAGGGAUGUGUGCCCUGGAGCCUUGCUGUGGUCAGAGCCCCCAGAGUCCAGGGCAAAGGGGUCACCUCAGCUGGGCUGUGCCAUCUCUAGAUCCCCUUGCCCAGCGCAUAGCUGGGCACGCGGGGGGAGGGGGAGUGCCAGCUACAUAGUGAGAUCCAGGAGUCAGAGCCAGCCAGGUGGUGCCUUUGAGGUUGUCUCUCCUGUCCCCGCUCCCCCAGGGCCACGUGUUCAUAGAGAGAGUGUUCAGUGCCUGGCACAGACCCGGUAGGUGUGGGUAUCUGUGGUUGCUGGCUGCCCGCAGAAUCCACAGAAUCAGAUCAAGAUGGAAGAAAGCUGUGGGGAGGGGCGUCGAGCUCCUUCAUUGGCUGUCACUUUACAGGACAGGAUCCGGCACCGACAUGGGGUGGAUGCUGACAGAAGGGCCAGUGCCAGGACAGUGGGGACAAAAAGGGACUGGGAGGGGGCAAAGUCCAGGGGGAGCAUCAGGUUGGACCUGACCUAGGAAGAAGCCACAGCUCUGAGGGGGCAGAGUCAAGCUUCUGUAAGUCCAAUGUUCAGUAAAGGGGAGAGGGUGCCCGCCACACAGUCCCUGUAAGCUGGAGGGCAGCCUGGCCGAGCAGGCAGGAGCUCUUACACGAACAGCACCAUUUCCGAACCGAUCCCGUUUCCAGGAAAAACUCCUAGGAAAGCAAACAUGGAAGCUGCCAAAAGUACAGCCACAAAGCUUCCAACAGAGUACCAAAUGAAAAGUCGAGGGACGGACAACAAAACGCAGACUAAAAACCAGUUACAAAACAGGAUGUCAAGUGUGGCAUGUUUUAGUGGUUUUAGUGUGGUUGUCUCUGGUGAUAAAAUUAAA